AUGGUUGUAGUCCUUGCAGGCGAAGGAUCUAGCUCCUCUGAACUGGUGAAGGAAUUGGAGUCGGAGAAGGCGACUCUUCAAGCGAAGACACAGCAGCUGAGAAGUGCCCUCGAGCGGAGCGAGGAGAAGUUUCGCGUGCAGGCCGAUGAGUUAACGAGGGGGAAAGAAGAAACCGCCAAAGCUUAUGAGGAAAGAGAUUCCUUAAUGCUUGAGAAAGAACAAUUGGAAAAAGAGGUGGUCGAUUUGAAAGCUGCAAUGUUGCCCGUGGUCGGAGAGCCUGAAGGAAUCGCAGACUUGCAUUCUCGGGCGAAGUUAAUUGCUCGGAUCCAGCUCCUCGAGUCGGAUUGUGUUGAUGCUCUGACUGACGGCUUCGAGACUGCAUUGACCCAACUGUCCGUGUUGAAUCCCGGGCUUAACACUGAAGGCGCUGGGGUAUUGUCCCAAGUCAUUGAUGGCCGCGUGGUUCCC